GAUGAACGCUAGCUACAGGCUUAACACAUGCAAGUCGAGGGGAAACGACAUCGAAAGCUUGCUUUUGAUGGGCGUCGACCGGCGCACGGGUGAGUAACGCGUAUCCAACCUGCCCAUCACUUGGGAAUAACCUUGCGAAAGUAAGACUAAUACCCAAUGAUAUCCCACGAAGGCAUCGGAAUGGGAUUAAAGAUUUAUCGGUGAUGGAUGGGGAUGCGUCUGAUUAGCUUGUUGGCGGGGUAACGGCCCACCAAGGCAACGAUCAGUAGGGGUUCUGAGAGGAAGGUCCCCCACAUUGGAUCUGAGACACGGUCCAAACUCCUACGGGAGGCAGCAGUGAGGAAUAUUGGUCAAUGGGCGAGAGCCUGAACCAGCCAAGUAGCGUGCAGGAAGACGGCCCUAUGGGUUGUAAACUGCUUUUAUAAGGGAAUAAAGUGGGUCACGUGUGACUUUUUGCAUGUACCUUAUGAAUAAGGACCGGCUAAUUCCGUG
rnacentral:rRNA from 1 species